GACGAACGCUGGCGGCGUGCCUAAUACAUGCAAGUAGGACGCAGUUGCGAACGUGUGAGUAACGCGUAGGUAACUACCUAUUAGAGGGGGAUAACUAUUGGAUACGAUUGCUAAUACCGCAUAUUAGUAGUUGGACCGGCGUUGUAUUUGCUAGUAGGUAGGGUAAUGGCCUACCUAGGCAACGAGACAUAGCCGAGCUGGGAGGGGGAUCGGCCACCCUGGGACUGAGACACGGCCCAGACGCCUACGGGAGGCAGCAGUAGGGAAUCUUCGGCAAUGGGGGGAACCCUGACCAGGCAACGCCGCGGGAGUGAAGAAGGUUUUCGGAGCGUAAAGCUCUGUUGUUAAGGAAGCGGUACUUAAACAGAAAGGAACGGCUAACUACGUGCCAGCAGCCGCGGUAAUAC
rnacentral:rRNA from 1 species